AAGAAAUUACGUAAUUAAUAAAUUUAAAAGUUGUAUUUAUCACCCAUAAAAUGAUGGCUACAAGUGUGGCUUAUUAAAAUAUUAAUAUAAAUUCCUCCAUCUUUUAUGAGAAGGCAAUUCAUCUACAAGUGGUCCUAAAUAUGUAGAUGGCUCUAGCGUUAUUUUUCUGAGACAAUAUAUUAAAUACUUUGAACUUUAUUAUGAUCAUGUGAACAACUUCAAGGAUCAUUUUUUCUUGUUGGGUCCCUCUUACCCAAAAAUCUCAUUCAAAAAUAUGUAACUUGAAUCUAGAGGUUCAUUCUUCUUGUACAUACAUCUUUCGUAAGUAUUGGACUCAUGGUCACUUCCUGAUCGGAGUUGGGUUAUGUCGUUACAAGGACAAAGAUUUUUCUUAGGAAGAGUGAUAUUUAAAAAGUUAGUUAGUGUAUUUUCAUCAAGAACUUGGGUACGUAAGCGGGGUGGUCUCAUUCGAUCUUACCUCUAAGAAACAAUUAAAGAGAUGCAUUCAGACUCGUAGGAUCAUAUACGUCAAGUCUAAGGAAGAUAUGAAGAAGAAUUUUGAUAAGAUGAAGAUUGAAGAUGUCAUGCAGCGACUGAAGAAAGAGGUUCGGGUUGUUGCUUUUGUUGGUACACCAUUUGCUCCAGCUACCGAGCAAGUUACUUAAUCGGUUCCUUAGGGGGUCGAGGGUGUGAAUCCAGCUUCUACCGCGGGUGCCUUGGUGGCCAGGAACUCCUCAUCCCCUAUCUGGAAAAGGGAGGAAAGGUCCGAGAACAAGUGGUGGAUUUUGCUCAUCAAUUUUCAAUGAGGAUUACUCUUAUUUCUCUGGGCUCCCUAAUGAGUCUCGUCGGGCCGAGUUACCAGAAUUAGUCUUUAUAAGAAAGUUUCUCUAUGGACGGAGAGGCCUUUGAAAAUUUGCUCCAAAAAGUUGAACAUUUUUACUCAGUCGGUCCCAUUUCUCGAACCCAUGUACGUCUCAACCAGAUGAUUGUAGACUGGCAAGUGGUCGUUUUGGAUAAAUAGUUUACUCUUCUAUUUAGGUUGAUUAACCUGCACC